rnacentral:rRNA from 1 species
AUACCGGCGGCUCGAGUGGUGGCCGCUUUUUACUGGGCUUAAAGGGUCCGUAGCUUGAUCCAUGGGUCCCUUGAGAAAUCCAUCAGCUUAACUGCUGGGCGUUCAGGGGAAACUGUGGUUCUAGGGACCGGGAGAGGUAAGAGGUACUGCCGGGGUAGGAGUGAAAUCCUGUAAUCCCGGUGGGACGACCUAUAGCGAAGGCAUCUUACCAGAACGGCUCCGACAGUGAGGGACGAAAGCGUGGGGGAGC